GAUGAACGCUGGCGGCGUGCCUAAUACAUGCAAGUCGAGCGAACAGACGAGGAGCUUGCUCCUCUGACGUUAGCGGCGGACGGGUGAGUAACACGUGGAUAACCUACCUAUAAGACUGGGAUAACUUCGGGACACCGGAGCUAAUACCGGAUAAUAUAUUGAACCGCAUGGUUCAAUAGUGAAAGACGGUUUUGCUGUCACUUAUAGAUGGAUCCGCGCCGCAUUAGCUAGUUGGUAAGGUAACGGCUUACCAAGGCAACGAUGCGUAGCCGACCUGAGAGGGUGAUCGGCCACACUGGAACUUAGACACGGUCCAGACUCCUACGAGAGGCAGCAGUAGGGAAUCUUCCGCAAUGGGCGAAAGCCUGACGGAGCAACGCCGCGUGAGUGAUGAAGGUCUUCGGAUCGUAAAACUCUGUUAUUAGGGAAGAACAAAUGUGUAAGUAACUAUGCACGUCUUGACGGUACCUAAUCAGAAAGCCACGGCUAACUACGUG
rnacentral:rRNA from 1 species